rnacentral:misc_RNA from 1 species
CUUUUCCUUGGCGAGUUACUGCCCUGUGUUUUAGACAGAUCUGCAGAAUGAGAGACAUCAUCCAAG